AUCAGUUAUCACUAAUCAUUUACGUUGACAACAAUUUCAAAUCGAGCAUGUGCUUGGAUCAGGGUUUUUCGACAUAAGUGUAAUGGCAUCGUGAAUCAUACUAUUUGAAUUACCUACCCAAUAAUAUAGUAUAAUAUUAUAAUUUGAAACUGCUUACUCACAACUGCAGUAGUCUUGUUCGUCAGAGUUCCGCACUUCCACAUUGGAUUCAACGCGAACCAGAUAAUUAAGGAUAAAGAAAACAUCAACGACGAAAUGCUAAUCAAUAAAAUGAUGCUGUUUAUAUUUGUGUUUUUGCUGAUGUUAGACUUGCAUGACGUUGCUGAUGGUAAAUUUCGUUCCAUUGGUAGGAAAAGAAAAAAAAAUAGUAAAACAGGUAAACCCCUCAACAGAACUGCAGGAGGGUAGAUUAUUAAAUUAAAUAAUAGGUUUUUAAUUUAAUUUCAAUUAAAAUCGUGUAUCCAAACGUUUGUUUUCAAUAUAAUUAUUUUUCCAAUCGAGAAUAACAUGGAAUACAAAGAGAUUCUGUACAAUUUAUGAUUCACAAAAGUCAAUAAAUUUGAAUAUAAUAUUACUGUAACUUCUA